rnacentral:pre_miRNA from 3 species
GUCUAUAUAUACCCUGUAGAACCGAAUUUGUGUGGUAUCCACAUAGUCACAGAUUCGAUUCUAGGGGAAUAUAUGGUCGA